GGCCGGCAUGGUCCCAGCCUCCUCGCUGGCGCUGGCUGGGCAACAU
rnacentral:misc_RNA from 1 species